rnacentral:rRNA from 1 species
AUUGAACGCUGGCGGAAUGCUUUACACAUGCAAGUCGAACGGCAGCACGGGGGCAACCCUGGUGGCGAGUGGCGAACGGGUGAGUAAUACAUCGGAACGUGCCCAGUCGUGGGGGAUAACGUAGCGAAAGUUACGCUAAUACCGCAUACGAUCUACGGAUGAAAGCGGGGGACCGUAAGGCCUCGCGCGAUUGGAGCGGCUGAUGUCAGAUUAGGUAGUUGGUGAGGUAAAGGCUCACCAAGCCGACGAUCUGUAGCUGGUCUGAGAGGACGACCAGCCGCACUGGAACUGAGACACGGUCCAGACUCCUACGGGAGGCAGCAGUGGGGAAUUUUGGACAAUGGACGCAAGUCUGAUCCAGCCAUUCCGCGUGCAGGAUGAAGGCCCUCGGGUUGUAAACUGCUUUUGUACGGAACGAAAAGGUCUCUCUUAAUACGGGGGACUCAUGACGGUACCGUAAGAAUAAGCACCGGCUAACUACGUGCCAGCCGCCGCGGUAA